rnacentral:rRNA from 1 species
AGUGAACGCUGGCGGUAGGCCUAACACAUGCAAGUCGAACGGCAGCACAGUAAGAGCUUGCUCUUACGGGUGGCGAGUGGCGGACGGGUGAGGAAUACAUCGGAAUCUACUUUUUCGUGGGGGAUAACGUAGGGAAACGUACGCUAAUACCGCAUACGACCUACGGGUGAAAGCAGGGGAUCUUCGGACCUUGCGCGAUUGAAUGAGCCGAUGUCGGAUUAGCUAGUUGGCGGGGUAAAGGCCCACCAAGGCGACGAUCCGUAGCUGGUCUGAGAGGAUGAUCAGCCACACUGGAACUGAGACACGGUCCAGACUCCUACGGGAGGCAGCAGUGGGGAAUAUUGGACCAUGGGCGCAAGCCUGAUCCAGACAUACCGCGUGGGUGAAGAAGGCCUUCUGGUUGUAAAGCCCUUUUGUUGGGAAAGAAAAGCAGCAGGUUAAUACCCCGCUGUUCUGACGGUACCCAAAGAAUAAGCACCGGCUAACUUCGUG